GGGUCAAUCUCCCAUCCUACUACAUAAAAGGAGGCAAAGUUCACCAGUGCAGUGCUCCCAUUCUGAAAUAGAACCUUCUUCUCAGGUGCAAAUCCACACUAUGAAAAUGGAUGUUAUGAAAGUGUCAGCUUUGAGGUGGGGACAGUCCCACAGCAUGGGCUGUCAUCUGGCAGGGGCUUCAAUCUCCAAGAAAUACCGAGGAUCUCACACAAGCUCACACAGGAGCCACCAGGACCAGCUUUCAGUCACCAAGAAGAGGAAAGUACCUCUGGAGACAUUCAGAAGAUGGAGCUAUCACCCGAAGAGGUUUCAAAAAGGCAGGCCGGGUUGUAGUAUGUAUUAACACACCAGCACUAUUUAGGGGAAUUUUUUAAAAUUUUGGUUCUCAUUAACUAAAUAAAAUGGAAUCAUGCUAGUCA